GUGGGGAAUCUUGCGCAAUGGGCGAAAGCCUGACGCAGCCAUGCCGCGUGGAUGAUGAAGGUCUUAGGAUUGUAAAAUCCUUUCACCGGUGAAGAUAAUGACUGUAGCCGGAGAAGAAGCCCCGGCUAACUUCGUGCCAGCAGCCGCGGUAAUACGAAGGGGGCUAGCGUUGCUCGGAAUUACUGGGUGUACAGGGAGCGUAGGCGGACAUUUAAGUCAGGGGUGAAAUCCCGAGGCUCAACCUCGGAACUGCCUUUGAUACUGGGUGUCUUGAGUGUGAGAGAGGUGAGUGGAACUCCGAGUGUAGAGGUGAAAUUCGUAGAUAUUCGGAAGAACACCAGUGGCGAAGGCGACUCACUGGCUCAUUACUGACGCUGAGGCUCGAAAGCGUGGGGAGCAAACAGGAUUAGAAACCCGUGUAGUCC
rnacentral:rRNA from 1 species